rnacentral:rRNA from 1 species
GAUCAUGGCUCAGGAUGAACGCUAGCGACAGGCUUAACACAUGCAAGUCGAGGGGCAGCAUGGGGUAGCAAUACCUUGAUGGCGACCGGCGCACGGGUGAGUAACGCGUAUGCAACCUGCCCGAUACCGGGGUAUAGCCCAUGGAAACGUGGAUUAACACCCCAUAGUACUUUUAUCCUGCAUGGGAUGUGAGUUAAAUGUUCAAGGUAUCUGAUGGGCAUGCGUCCUAUUAG